GAUGUUGACGAUGACGACGAUGAGAGGGUGUUCGUGAAAUUUUGUAAAGGCCACGCUCGGAACGCCAUCUGUCGAGAAGAAGAUGAAACACUGAUGUGUUUUAUCUCGCCUAACUUCAUCCCCUCCAAUUCUGAAGCUCAUACACUCUCUCUCUUUCUUUCUCUCUCUCUCUUUCCUCUCUCUAUAUAUCUCUCUCUCUCUCUCUCCGAUACGACUCAUCGGCGAAGCUUAAAGCGCAUCGAAGAUGGCGACAGGAGGGUAGGGUCGAGUCAGUCGCUUAGAAAGGAAGCUUACUCCUCGUCCGUUAAACGACCAUAAACGUCGACGUAAUGUCGUAUCUGAUGGUGGUGGUGGGUACUUUUUCCUAACUAGGAUUCUCCCCGAAAAAAGGAACGGGGGUGUGCUGCGCGUUACUAACUAACAAAUUUAAUCAAUAUUAUCAAAACUAUUCGCAUUUUUAUUUCCAAGAA